rnacentral:rRNA from 1 species
CCUACGGGUGGCAGCAGUGGGGAAUAUUGCACAAUGGGGGAAACCCUGAUGCAGCGACGCCGCGUGAGCGAUGAAGGUUUUCGGAAUGUAAAGCUCUAUCAGCAGGGAAGAAAAUGACGGUACCUGACUAGGAAGCCCCGGCUAACUACGUGCCAGCAGCCGCGGUAAUACGUAGGGGGCAAGCGUUAUCCGGAUUGACUGGGUGUAAAGGGAGCGUAGACGGGUGAGCAAGUCAGAUGUGAAAGCGCUGGGCUUAACCCCGGGACUGCAUUUGAAACUGUGUGGCUGGAGUGUAGUAGAGGCAAGCGGAAUUCCGAGUGUAGCGGUGAAAUGCGUAGAUAGUAGGAGGAACACCAGUGGCGAAGGCGGCUUGCUGGGCGGUGACUGACGUUGAGGCUCGAAAGCGUGGGGAGCAAACAGGAUUAGAUACCCCUGUAGUC